rnacentral:lncRNA from 1 species
CCCAAGCUCCGCCCCAUUCCUCCUUGCCCAACCCCUGCGCCCUCCUCUUCUCCUUCCCCUCUCCUAUUAAGGGUAGCAUCGCUUCGCCUUUCCCUUCAGCCGCUGCUAAGACCCGGAGAAGCGGGCUCUCCCCCUAGCGCCUCCUCGGAGGCGCCUCCGGGACGCACUGGGCAUGUUCCGUCGCUGGGUCAGGGUUUGCUGACACCCAGGAAGCUUCUGCGGCAGCAGUGCCCCCUCCACGGCGGAUUUCUUUCCCCACUCCCUCAGUGGGCUCUGGCACAAAUACAAGUGGCCCGAGGCAGCCUUGGUCUCCCUCGCCGGGAGAGGCAGAAGGUCCUUGGGAACCGGAGCUCAAGUUUUCUCCCAGAGAACUUCGCAGCCUUCUCCUUUUUCAGCCCCAAGAAAUCGGAGACCUUUUUCGAGAGCCUUUGAUUGCUCUUCAACGACACAGGUCAAUUAAAUGCGUAUUUAUUGAGUGCCACUAUUUGACAGGCACUAUGCAAAGAGCUAAGGAUGGGAACCCUAAAACAAAAACUCCACAAUGCCUGUCCUCAGGGAGCUUACACCUUCCAUCAGGGGAGGGAAUAUUUUAAUAAAUAACUGGUGUCUAAACUCUGACAAAUUCUUGUUGUAAAGAGAAUUUUUGAAGAAAUACACUGCUUUACUCCUUGAAUACAAUAUUAUAUUCUCUUCGCUCUUUUUUCUUGGAUGCACCUUUCAUGCACUCCCCUCUCACACCUAUCAAACAUGGACCUUUCACGUGAGGCAUCUUAUCAUCUCUGGCCAGUGACCGCAUUAAAUACAUAGCAUGUAUUUAAGAGCCUACUAUGUCAGGCACUGUGCUAAGCGCUGGGGAAACAGGAAAAGGUAAAACAACAAUCAAAGAAAAACAAAACAAAAAACAUAGCUGCUGCAAAUUAUGUUGGAUAUGUAUGGGAAAAGUAUUUUUAACCCGUAUUUUAGGGAAGGGGGAAUUAAAUAGGUUUGGGGACAAUAUCUCAUCGAUUCAUGAGCUGGAAGAUGUUUCUUUCAUAAAAUAAAGUACCUUGGACUGAACA